UUCCUACGGGGGGCAGCAGUGAGGAAUAUUGGUCAAUGGGCGAGAGCCUGAACCAGCCAAGUCGCGUGAAGGAUGACGGCCCUACGGGUUGUAAACUUCUUUUGUCAGGGAGCAAUUGGGUCCACGCGUGGGCUUAGCGAGAGUACCUGAAGAAAAAGCAUCGGCUAACUCCGUGCCAGCAGCCGCGGUAAUACGUAGGGGGCAAGCGUUAUCCGGAUUUACUGGGUGUAAAGGGAGCGUAGACGGCAUUGCAAGUCUGAUGUGAAAGAUUGGGGCUCAACCCCAGGCCUGCAUUGGAAACUGUA
rnacentral:rRNA from 1 species